CAGUAGCCGCGGUAAUACAGAGGGUGCAAGCGUUAAUCGGAAUUACUGGGCGUAAAGCGCACGCAGGCGGUCUGUCAAGUCAGAUGUGAAAUCCCCGGGCUUAACCUGGGAACUGCAUUUGAAACUGGCAGGCUAGAGUCUUGUAGAGGGGGGUAGAAUUCCAGGUGUAGCGGUGAAAUGCGUAGAGAUCUGGAGGAAUACCGGUGGCGAAGGCGGCCCCCUGGACAAAGACUGACGCUCAGGUGCGAAAGCGUGGGGAGCAAACAGGAUUAGAUACCCCAGUAGUCCCUGUCUCUUAUAC
rnacentral:rRNA from 1 species